UCUGAGACCAGGGCCAGAAGCAGUUCUUUCAGGAACUUUCCUGAGAUUUCAGGAAGUACUCCCCAGAGAAUAGGGUUCUGGAUGAGGGUAUAAUGAACAGCCUUUGCUAAAGAGUAUGUAGCUGAACAUGGAUCCAGUCAGCCAUUUCAGUGGAAGUCAGGAUUGAGAAAAUGCAG
rnacentral:sRNA from 1 species